UUCGCCUGUUUAUCAAAAACAUAGCCUACAGUAUAUAUUUUAGGUGGAAUCUGCUCAGUGUACCUAUUGGAAAAAUAAUAAACAGCCGCGGUACUUUGACCGUGCUAAGGUAGCGUAAUAAGUUGGCUUUUAUAAUGAGGUCGAGUAUGAAUGAUAAGAACGUAGCUAAGCUGUCUCGAAAUUGUUUUAUUGAAGUUACUGUGUAGAUGAAAAAGUCUAUAAAAAUAUCAAAGACGAGAAGACCCUUAGAAUUUAAACGAAGUUGAAAAUAUUUCAGGAUGUUUUUGUUGGGGCGACAUGAAAGCAAUAAGAUAACCUUUUCGAUACUAUAUAAGACGAUUUUUAUAAGAUUGAAUAAAUUACCUGAGGGAUAACAGCAUAAUUUUAUAAAUAAGUUUGUGACCUCGAUGUUGGAGCUAGGA
rnacentral:rRNA from 1 species